rnacentral:lncRNA from 1 species
CUGAAUUCAUUUUUAGUUUUUCUCUUGCUAACAUAGGCCUGUUUAGGUCCAGGUGUUUACUCUUUUCUGCCUAACCAUGUUCUAAUCAGGUGAAUCUGUCCUGAGUUCAAAGAUGCAUCCUGAUUGAGCUAAGCUAAAACACAACAAUUCCAGUCCCUCUUCCUAUGACUUCUUAAGGCACAGAAAUGUGUUGCAAUUUUGAUCAAUGAGACGUGAAGAAAAGCCACUGAGAACUUCUGUAAAAGGUUCCUUAAAUCUUAAAAAAAAAAAAGAAAAAGAAAGAAAGAAAAGAAAACAUAGUUCCUCUUCUUUUAGAUGUUCUCAAGUCUGAGAAAAUGAUCCCUGGGGAUGAAAUCUGGAGAAGAAUGGAAAGAUGCUGGCCCUUGACUGUAUUAUUCAGCCUCUGACUUGAAAAACCCUAUGCUAGUCACUCUUCCUCCAAACAUGUCUCCUGGUAGAAUGGAAGACUUUACUGAAAUUAAAUUUUUGGACACUGGACCCAUCUAUUUUUUUGAUCAGAUAAAACCAAAAAGGAAAAUAUGGGAAAAGAGAAAAUGUGAAGACCACUUCCCCCUUUUGGAGUGCACUGAAGGAGCUAACUAUAAUCCUACAAGGAGUAUAUUUAAAGAACUAGAGAAAGCAAAACUUUCUACAGUAGCUGAAUCCGGGGAGAAAGAUGAGUUCAUCUCAUUUGGUGUCUCACAAACAUCUAGUGUUUCUAUGUUAUCUACUAAUUUAAAAUUUUCCAAACUACAACUGCAAAAGUCUCUGUUUGAAGAAUACAAACUCACUGCUGCUGAAAUACUGUAUGAACUUGAGGAGGUAUUACAGAAAUAUGCUGUGUAUAACAUUACUUUCCCUGUGGGAAUUGUAAAUCUUGUGGAUUACAGUUGGCACGAUCUUACUUCAGAUGCUUAUAAGUAUGCAACCAAAAAUCCUAUGUUGAAGAAAUGUAGUGCCUUAAAAGAUGAUACCAGUAUCAUGACUAUGAUCGACUUAAAGGGAUACAAAAUCAACAGCUGCUCAAGAGAAGAAUGUCAUAAGAGGAACUGCCUGGUGAAAGUAAAAGAAGACCAUCACGAUGCAGCAAGUAAACCUGUGGUAAAAACAUCUCUUGUCGACCAACAGCAGUGUUCCCAGAUCUCCCAGGAUAGCAGUUUACCUGUUGUCACCCACUUCUCACUGACAUCCAAGAUCUGUUUAGAAAAUGGUUGGGUCCUACAGCCUCCUUCCUCAAAAUUGGAAAUCCUGAAAUGGAAGACAAUUCUUGAUACUGCUGUGAAGAAACUACAAGUAGCCAUAAUACAAAUAAAAACGGAAGAAGCUAAGCUAAGGAAAGAAGGAUUCGACAAACAACUUAUCCUGAGCCACUAUAACGAG